ACUCGUAUUUCUAAAUCAUAUCACGAAUGGAUUUCGAGGAACUCAAAUGAUUUACGAAAGGUUUAUACUAAACAUACCGGUUUUUUUUACAAAACAAAUGCUUAUUUUCGAAAUAUGAAUGAUUUUUCAUAACUAAGGAGUCAGUCCGGGUGGCUGGGAAAGUUCAGUCAGGGUGGCUGGGAAAGCUCAGUCAGGGUGGCUGGGGAGGCUCAGCCAGGGUGGCUGAGGUGGAAUAUAUGUUACAGUAAUUACGAAAAAUUUUUACAUGGUAUGGUUAACGUAAGGAGGUGUUAUACGAUCAUGUGAGUGGAUAGGAACAACAUGGGGCCAUUAGUCCUCAUGGAGGGACCGAGGGACAGGAGCGGUAGAUCUAUCUGGGUGUAGCGAGCCCAGCCCCCGGCCAAACUAGAAACGGACCGUGGGGUGACUUUGUCCACAUACUUUGCCGUGGCGAAAUCUGCUAGGUUUGAGUCUCCCUAUUUGCACUUCACAUAUGUCAGUGGCCUUGCAAACCAUUGGUGAUCACAAGUCCCCUUACACUGCUACAUACCAGGGAUUUUAUACUUACGGAAACUUUUAGUUCAUACAAAUUAACUACCAUGUUUUAUACAAAUCCAAAGAAUUAUGGGGGUAUAGAGUCAAGGUCAGGGUGGGCAUUGACGGUUAUGCGAACAUUACAAAGACAAGGCUUUACAAAUACAUGGUUUUAUGAACAUAACGUGUUACAAACACAACGUUUCCAUAUAACUUGGCAAGAAAAUGAUUUUUAAAUUCAUUUUCUCAAUACUAUUUCAAAAACCGGUUACCAAAGAUUUAUUUCAAACCUUUCACAACUCAAAAGAUUUAUUUCAGAUCUUUUACAAACAAACUAUGAACUCGCUCAACUUUAUGUUGACUUUUUCGCAUGCUCUUUCUCAGGUUGCAUUUCUAAGACAAGGCACGGUUGGAAUAGGAGGACCAUGAAGAGUCGAGUACUUAGUGGGCGUUCAAUUUCUAAAAGACUUAAAUUAUUUUGCUUCCGCUGUGCAAUGAAGAUACCAGUCCAGUCACGCCAAUGCUCUGAUAAUUUCGGGGUGUGACAGAUUGGUAUCAGAGCUAUAGGUUACAGCGAAUUAGGUUUCUGUUGUGAUACCUAGGCUCUAACCUCACCUUUCCCCCUGGGGACUUAGAUCGUUGAGACAUUGAACACAUACAGAACGCCUAGUACUCGAAUAUGGUCUCCAACCGUUGCCGUAAAACAAGCAGUCAAAAUCUUGUUUUCAAACAUACGCUAAAAUAGUGUUUUAUACACGAUACACAAAACAGGCGCAUACAGUGCACAAUACUCUGAGAGUUUAGGAAACAUGCAUUUAAGACCUUCGGAAAAAGGGAAUUCAGUCUGAGAGGCUGGGAAGGUAGUCUGAGAGACUAGAAGAUUCAGUCUGAGAGGCUGGAAGGAUAGUCUAGUGGGACUAGGAGAUUCAGUCUGGGAGGCUGGAAGGAUAGUCUAGUGGGACUAGAAGAUUCAGUCUGAGAGGCUGGAAGGAUAGUCUAGUGGGACUAGGAGAUUCAGUCUGAGAGGCUGGGAGGAUAGUCUAGUGGGACUAGGAGAUUCAGUCUGAGAGGCUGGGAGGAUAGACUAGUGGGACUAGGGGAAUUACUUGAUUGCUUAUUGGUGACUAACAUGCUUAUUUGAUUAUAUGAUCGAUUAUUGGUGCAUGGUCAUCACGUAGGAACCACGAAUAUUAACUCGGGUACACACUCUUAUCCAUAUUAUCUAUGAUAUCUUAACUUCCCGAGCAGGCAGCCUACGCAUAACAAAACGCUAGCGCACGAGAAUACAUGGAACUCAAUUUUUACGUCCACGGAUGUCGGGGUACAUCACUUUCUACAUGGCACACGACGCUAGUGCACAGGUAUACGUGGAGCUUAAGCUUACAUCAACAGAGGUUGAAGUACGUCACAUACGACUAUCGAGGCGAGGCCUUUGAAAAGACGCGAUGGCGCAAUUCAACGACGACGCUAGAUUCCUGUCAGCAGGAGAACUAACGGCCAGGAAACGGCAACUUGUCACGCGAUCCUGCAACGACACGAAUCACUCCAAGGAAAAGACGUAUGUCUCCACAUCCCCCCUAUUUCGGUUAACGACGGUAAUGUCACCUAACAAUUGGUCAUCACAUGAAACCCCAGGUAAAGUCCUCAAAUUUCUAUUAUUGAAAUUUCGAAUUUCACGCUCACUGAGUAGAUUUUCGCAUCUCUACUCCUCUUAAUGGUCAUUGUAUCACGAUCAUUUCUUUACAAGUUACAUACAUGGUUUUUCAUUGUGACCAUGCCGAAAGUUUUCUUGUUGAUACAUAUGUUUAUGGUCGGAUUGCGCUAAAACCAAGUUCAAUUGUUUGAACUUGUCCAUUACACCCAUUUUAUUCCAAAUACAAUAUGAUGUAUUGAAAACAUCAUAUUCAAAUUCGUAUUAACAAACGUUUCAUUUGUUCCAAGUCGAAGUGGACUUGUUUGGCAUUCGACUCCAUUAAAUUGUUUGCUGAUUUCGACACCUUGUGGCGGUGUAUUCAUUAACUUGAAGCUUGUGCUAAACUCGUUUACGCAUCUCAUAUACGGAUCAAAAAAAAAAAUUUUAUUGAUUGUUUUUCCAAUUCACUUCGAUUUAUUAUAUCAAAGCGGUCUUAAUACAAUAGUGUGUUAAGACAAUGGUACACAAAUUCAUUUUUACAUUCCGGUGUACCUACUAACGGUUCUUUCGUUAUCGAUCGAAAAUUUUGCAAUAUCCAUUGCUUCUUCACAUUCGAUCGAAAACAUUAUUUCUUUGAUGUUCAAAUUUCAAUUGAAAAUUCUAUGAUGUCAUUUGAAACAAACUUUCGGAUUCACCUUAUUACGCUUUCAUUUGACUUCAAACACGGUGGAUUUGUUUGAUCACCGCUAUUAUUGAAUUAUUUGAAUCACUACGACACCUUGUGGUGUCAGUACAAACUUGUAGCUUGGGCUAAUCAUGAUUGAGCGUUUCAUGCAAAACACAGGUGAUACUUGUUUGAUCACCGGUAUUAUUGAAUUAUUUCAUUACGACACCUUGAGGCGUCGGUAUAACUUGCAGCUUGUGCUGAUCACGAUCGAGCAUUUCAUGCAAACUAUUAUAUUUGAGAUGGUUGAUUCUAAGAUCAUCCAGUGGAUGCUUUUGCUUCUAGAACUCGUUUACAUGUUAUAAUCGUUCACAUGGAAUUCGAUUGGUCGAAGAUCCUGUUCAUUGUUGGAUCCUGUUAACUUAGUCACACUAGUGACUGUAUUUAUACAUCUUGUUUUCCCUUGACGUCAACUUUUGAAACACAAUUCUGAAGAGAUAACAUAGUCUGAAUUUCGAGGACGAAAUUUCUGUAACAGGGGGAGAAUGUGACAACCGGUAAUUUACGGAUCUUAAUUACGUGAUUAACAGGUGAUUACGCAAUAAUAAAUAGUGUUUACGACGCAAAUUAACUUAAUUAGGCCUUUGGAGUGUCUAGGAACGCUUAUCCGACUCUACAGUACGCGUAUGAAGAUUCGCGUGGAAUCUGCGGAACACCAAAUGACAACGGAGUGAAACCGUACAAAAUGCUGACAACGCCGACAAAUAUGGAUGUUACGCGAUUUCCGGCCGUAUUUUAUGUAUUUUUAAUACUAAAAUUUUAUCACUUGACGUUAAAACGGAGUUCGGGUUUUGACAACGGGCCUCGUAGGGAUUACGGGCCACUUGCACACGAGACGGGCUUGUGGGCCCUGGGCCCAAGCCUACACCUGCACAUAAUAUAUUACACCUUUACUACAAGAUUUUUUUUUCUUGUGAAUCUUACCAAAAUCUUAUUAGGAUCUCUACCAGAUCUAUACUAGAUUUAGAAAAUCUAUAUGAGAUUUACGAAAUCUGUACUAGAUCCAUACUAAAUCUUACCAUAAUCUAAACAAAAUCCCUACAAGAGAUUUUGUCUCUAAAGAUUGGAACAUAGAGACUUGUGGGUAAUGAAUUGUUAUAAGAACCACUAAGCAAAACCCAAAUUUAAGUGUAUAUAAAAGGGGGGCCAUGCUUCUUUUAAUUGUGCAGACACAAACCAAACACACAUACAAAUAAAAUGAAGGCACCUCAUCUCCUUCAUCCUAAGUUCAGCUAAACACCCUCUCACAAAACAAAAUACAGACAUCAUCAUCAUCCACACUUCUAAGAAAACUCAUCAAAACCUCAAAUUCCUUACCUCCGUCUCUAUAAUCUGUUGAGAUAAACACACACACACCUAAAAAUGAUUCCCUCCACCCCCUCUAAAGAACCCGGCCAGCCACCGCCAUGGUGGUGGCGGCGCGUGGCGACAUUGACGGACCCCCUUCUGAUGACGACCCGACGGCGGAGAACCGUCGGCAUACGGCGGCGGUGGCGGUGGAUCUUCACGACGGCACGAAGACGAAGAGAGAGAGAGAGAUGUCGAGAGAGAGACGGAACAGGGAGAGAGAACGAGAUGAGAGGGAGGAAGAAGGAGGUCGCGGGUCUGUGACGGCCGCUUCUCUUCUCCGACGGCAGCGCCGCCGCUCACGGCGGCGGCAGGGUUGAUGACAGUGGUGUGAUGGCCCGAUGAGUUUCAUGCUCAGUUCAGGUCGCAACAAUCGGUGCAAGUUGCGGGAUUUGGGACUGUGUUAUGUUUCCGAGCACACCAGUGGGUUUCGGGUCAAAUUUGAGGUUUUUGUUUCGGACGUGGUCAAACCGGGUCAACUCAAUUAACUCAGCAAGUCAACUCGGUCAACCCGUUUGACUCGGUCAACUCAGUCAAACUUUACGGCGUUUCGACACGAGAUGGAAUAUUGUAGAAUGCACGCUAGCAAGUCAAGUCUUGGAAACGACAUCGCAAAGUCGUAUAUAGCUAGCCUUGCACAGGAAUAUUCAGGCGAGUUCAUAACCCCCACUUUUUACUACUGUUUUACAUUCUUUUU